rnacentral:rRNA from 35 species
UACACGACUCUCGGCAACGGAUAUCUAGGCUCUCGCAUCGAUGAAGAACGUAGCAAACUGCGAUACUUGGUGUGAAUUGCAGAAUCCCGUGAACCAUCGAGUCUUUGAACGCAAGUUGCGCCCGAAGCCAUUAGGCCGAGGGCACGUCUGCCUGGGCGUCACGC